rnacentral:rRNA from 1 species
GAAGGAUUCAUCGGAAGAGGAUGGGCAUGCGGCGCAUUAGCUAGACGGCGGGGUAACGGCCCACCGUGGCGACGAUGCGUAGGGGUUCUGAGAGGAACCUCCCCCACACUGGUACUGAGACACGGACCAGACUCCUACGGGAGGCAGCAGUGAGGAAUAUUGGUCAAUGGGAGAGAUCCUGAACCAGCCAAGCCGCGUGAGGGAAGACGGCCCUAUGGGUUGUAAACCUCUUUUGUCGGAGAACAAAACCCGGGACGUGUCCCGGACUGCGUGUAUCCGAAGAAAAAGCAUCGGCUAACUCCGUGCCAGCAGCCGCGGUAAUACGGAGGAUGCGAGCGUUAUCCGGAUUUAUUGGGUUUAAAGGGUGCGUAGGCGGUCCGUUAAGUCAGCGGUAAAAUUGCGGGGCUCAACCCCGUCGAGCCGUUGAAACUGGCAGACUUGAGUUGGCGAGAAGUACGCGGAAUGCGCGGUGUAGCGGUGAAAUGCAUAGAUAUCGCGCAGAACUCCGAUUGCGAAGGCAGCGUACCGGCGCCAGACUGACGCUGAGGCACGAAAGCGUGGGGAUCGAACAGGAUUAGAUACCCUGGUAGUCCACGCAGUAAACGAUGAAUGCUGGUUGUCCGGGUCGAAUGAGAUCUGG